rnacentral:rRNA from 1 species
GACGAACGCUGGCGGCGUGCUUAACACAUGCAAGUCGAACGGAAAGGCCCUGCUUUUGUGGGGUGCUCGAGUGGCGAACGGGUGAGUAACACGUGAGUAACCUGCCCUUGACUUUGGGAUAACUUCAGGAAACUGGGGCUAAUACCGGAUAGGAGCUCCUGCUGCAUGGUGGGGGUUGGAAAGUUUCGGCGGUUGGGGAUGGACUCGCGGCUUAUCAGCUUGUUGGUGGGGUAGUGGCUUACCAAGGCUUUGACGGGUAGCCGGCCUGAGAGGGUGACCGGCCACAUUGGGACUGAGAUACGGCCCAGACUCCUACGGGAGGCAGCAGUGGGGAAUAUUGCACAAUGGGCGGAAGCCUGAUGCAGCAACGCCGCGUGCGGGAUGACGGCCUCGGUGUAACGACUUCGUCCUCGUGUACGAAGACGUGAGUGACGGUAAGUAGGGU